GACGAACGCUGGCGGCGUGCUUAACACAUGCAAGUCGAACGGAAAGGCCCUGCUUUUGUGGGGUGCUCGAGUGGCGAACGGGUGAGUAACACGUGAGUAACCUGCCCUUGACUUUGGGAUAACUUCAGGAAACUGGGGCUAAUACCGGAUAGGAGCUCCUGCUGCAUGGUGGGGGUUGGAAAGUUUCGGCGGUUGGGGAUGGACUCGCGGCUUAUCAGCUUGCUGGUGGGGUAGUGGCUUACCAAGGCUUUGACGGGUAGCCGGCCUGAGAGGGUGACCGGCCACCUUGGGACUGAGAUACGGCCCAGACUCGUACGGGAGGCAGCAGUGGGGAAUAUUGCACAAUGGGCGGAAGCCUGAUGCAGCAACGCCGCGUGCGGGAUGACGGCCUUCGGGUUGUAAACCGCUUUCGCCUGUGACGAAGCGUGAGUGACGGUAAUGGGUAAAGAAGCACCGGCUAACUACGUG
rnacentral:rRNA from 1 species